rnacentral:rRNA from 1 species
AGAGUUUGAUCCUGGCUCAGAUUGAACGCUGGCGGCAUGCCUUACACAUGCAAGUCGAACGGCAGCGCGGGGGGUAACUCCUGGCGGCGAGUGGCGAACGGGUGAGUAAUAUAUCGGAACGUGCCCUGGAGUGGGGGAUAACUAGUCGAAAGAUUAGCUAAUACCGCAUACGAUCUACGGAUGAAAGUGGGGGAUUCGCAAGAACCUCAUGCUCGUGGAGCGGCCGAUAUCUGAUUAGCUAGUUGGUAGGGUAAAAGCCUACCAAGGCGACGAUCAGUAGCUGGUUUGAGAGAACGACCAGCCACACUGGGACUGAGACACGGCCCAGACUCCUACGGGAGGCAGCAGUGGGGAAUUUUGGACAAUGGGGGCAACCCUGAUCCAGCAAUGCCGCGUGUGUGAAGAAGGCCUUCGGGUUGUAAAG